rnacentral:rRNA from 1 species
CUGGCUCAGGAUGAACGCAGACGACAGGCUAACACAUGCAAGUCGAGGGGCGAGCACGGGAGUAGCAAUACAACUGGUGGCGACCGGCGCACGGGUGAGUAACGCGUAUGCAACCUACCUAUCGAGAGGGGAAUAACCCGGCGAAAGUCGGACUAAUACCGCAUAAAACAGGGGCACCGCAUGGUGAUAUUUGUUAAAGAGAUUCGCUGAUAGAUGGGCAUGCGUUCCAUUAGGUAGUUGGUGAGGUAACGGCUCACCAAGCCGACGAUGGAUAGGGGAACUGAGAGGUUGGUCCCCCACACUGGUACUGAGACACGGACCAGACUCCUACGGGAGGCAGCAGUGAGGAAUAUUGGUCAAUGGGCGGGAGCCUGAACCAGCCAAGUCGCGUGAAGGAAGAAGGAUCUAUGGUUCGUAAACUUCUUUUGCAGGGGAAUAAAGUGCAGGACGUGUCCUGUUUUGUAUGUACCCUGAGAAUAAGGAUCGGCUAACUCCGUGCCAGCCGCGGC